GACGAACGCUGGCGGCGUGCCUAAUACAUGCAAGUCGGACGAGAGCAACCGGUGCUUGCACUGGUCAAUCUAGUGGCGAACGGGUGAGUAACACGUGGGUAACCUGCCCAUCAGAGGGGGAUAACAUCCGGAAACGGAUGCUAAAACCGCAUAGGUCUUCGAACCGCAUGGUUUGAAGAGGAAAAGAGGCGCAAGCUUCUGCUGAUGGAUGGACCCGCGGUGCAUUAGCUAGUUGGUGAGGUAACGGCUCACCAAGGCCGUGAUGCAUAGCCGACCUGAGAGGGUGAUCGGCCACAUUGGGACUGAGACACGGCCCAAACUCCUACGGGAGGCAGCAGUAGGGAAUCUUCCGCAAUGGACGCAAGUCUGACGGAGCAACGCCGCGUGAGUGAAGAAGGUUUUCGGAUCGUAAAACUCUGUUGUUAGAGAAGAACAAGUGCUAGAGUAACUGUUAGCGCCUUGACGGUAUCUAACCAGAAAGCCACGGCUAACUACGUG
rnacentral:rRNA from 1 species